AGAGUUUGAUCCUGGCUCAGAUUGAACGCUGGCGGCAUGCCUAACACAUGCAAGUCGAACGGUAACGAUGGGAGCUUGCUCCCAGGCGACGAGUGGCGGACGGGUGAGUAAUACUUAGGAAUCUGCCCAUUAGUGGGGGACAACUAGAAGAAAUUCUAGCUAAUACCGCAUACGCCCUACGGGGGAAAGCGGGGGAUCUUCGGACCUCGCGCUAAUGGAUGAGCCUAAGUCGGAUUAGCUUGUUGGUGAGGUAAAGGCCUACCAAGGCGACGAUGGUUAGCUGGUCUGAGAGGAUGAUCAGCCACACUGGAACUGGAACACGGUCCAGACUCCUACGGGAGGCAGCAGUGAGGAAUUUUGCGCAAUGGGCGAAAGCCUGACGCAGCAACGCCGCGUGAGUGAUGAAGGAUUUCGGUUCGUAAAGCUCUGUCAAGUGGGAAGAACCUAUAUAGUGUUAAUAGCAUUAUGUACUGACGUACCACUGAAGAAGCACCGCUAACU
rnacentral:rRNA from 1 species